AAUGAACGCUGGCGGCAGGCCUAACACAUGCAAGUCGAGCGAGCAUUUCGGUGCUAGCGGCGGACGGGUGAGUAACGCGUGGGAACGUGCCCUUUUCUGCGGAAUAGUCCUAGGAAACUGGGGGUAAUACCGCAUACGCCCUUUUGGGGAAAGAUUUAUCGGAGAAGGAUCGGCCCGCGUUGGAUUAGGUAGUUGGUGGGGUAAUGGCCCACCAAGCCGACGAUCCAUAGCUGGUUUGAGAGGAUGAUCAGCCACACUGGGACUGAGACACGGCCCAGACUCCUACGGGAGGCAGCAGUGGGGAAUCUUAGACAAUGGGGGCAACCCUGAUCUAGCCAUGCCGCGUGAGUGAUGAAGGCCUUAGGGUUGUAAAGCUCUUUCAGCUGGGAAGAUAAUGACGGUACCAGCAGAAGAAGCCCCGGCUAACUCCGUG
rnacentral:rRNA from 1 species